UGUGGCUCUUGAUUUUGAUUAUGAAAUGCAUACCCUGUCACUCUUCACCUGUGUCCUUGGCAACUCCCCCAGGCACACAUGGCUUCUCAAGCGUCAUUUGUCUUGUUCCAGUUCUUCUGGGUCCAAAAUAAAUCAUGGAUUUAGAGAAAUCAUUAUGGUGUCAUCCAUGCUUGAGUGCUGGCCUGCUCAGGAGAUGGACAGACACGCUUAAACCAAGGAUGUGGUUUAGGAAAACCCUACUAUUGGAACAAUCUCAUCUAGGAAGGUUUUAUCUAAAUGCAUCGAAAAGGCAGAGAAUUUUGCACAGCAUCAGCUGAGACCGUUCCCAGGAGAGCGGAACUGACAGAGCAGCCCCUGCCCCAUCUCCCCAGUGCCACCAGUCACCCCGUGUGCGACAUCACCCUGGCUGAACAGACCGGUGCUUAUGUAAAAGACAGUGCCCUCCCACAUGACUCCAUUUGGGGUUACAUCAAAACAAUUCCUGCGAAGUUGAAAUUUUUAAUUAAAUGUAUUCAAAGGGAGCACAGAUUAAUGCCUCUAAGCAAGAGAGUAUUUAAUGCUCACAGGCCAGUUCAUGCUUGCUAAAGUAAAACUCUCACUGCCAGAGAAGCUUUUAAGUAUUGAUAUUUCCUGCAUUAAUACUCUAAACCACAUUCAUAGUAAUAUAAUUAGAA
rnacentral:lncRNA from 1 species